rnacentral:rRNA from 1 species
AUUGAACGCUGGCGGCAUGCUUUACACAUGCAAGUCGAACGGUAACAGGCCUUCGGGCGCUGACGCGUGGCGAACGGGCGAGUAAUGCAACGCAACGAGCCCAGACGCGGGGGAUAACGCCGCUAAAGCUGCGCUAAUACCGCAUACGAUCUGUGGAUGAAAGCGGGGGUACGUAAGGCCUCGCGCGAUUGGAGCGGCCGAUGUCAGAUUAGGUAGUUGGUGGGGUAAAGGCUCACCAAGCCGACGAUCUGUAGCUGGUCUGAGAGGACGACCGGCCACACUGGGACUGAGACACGGCCCAGACUCCUACGGGAGGCAGCAGUGGGGAAUUUUGGACAAUGGGGGCAACCCUGAUCCAGCAAUGCCGCGUGCAGGAAGGAGGCCUUCGGGUUGUAAACUGCUUUUGUACGGAACGAAACGGCUCUGGUUAAUACCUGGGGCUAAUGACGGUACCGUAAGAAUAAGCACCGGCUAACUACGUGCCAGCCGCCGCGGUAAAAC